rnacentral:rRNA from 1 species
AUGGCUGUCGUCAGCUCGUGUCGUGAGAUGUUGGGUUAAGGUACCCGCCAACGAGCGCAACCCUUGCCUUUAGUUGCCAGCAGUUCGGCUGGGCACUCUAAAGGGACUGCCGGUGUUAAACCGGAGGAAGGUGGGGGAGUGACGUCAAGUCCUCAUGGCCUUUAUGACCAGGGCUACACACGUACUACAAUGGCCGAUACAAAGGGCAGCGACACUGCGAGGUGAAGCCAAUCCCGUAAAAUCGGUCUCAGUCCGGAUUGGAGUCUGCAACUCGACUCCAUGAAGUUGGAAUCGCUAGUAAUCGUGGAUCAGCAUGCCACGGUGAAUACGUUCCCGGGCCUU